rnacentral:lncRNA from 1 species
GUGAAGGUGAUAUUUCAUCCAGUGUUCCCGGUUCAUCCUCUCCUUACCUGACCUCUGAAAUGGAGCCAUUGGCCUUGAAAAGCCUGGUGUCUAAAAUUAAUAUUCUUCCCCAUCUGACUAAGAAGGCAACAGCUGAGCAACGUGAGAUCAAGAGCCAUAUUAAUUUAAACAGGGGCUGAAAGUGGCAUUUGAGAGAGAAGAUACUUCCUCUCGUAGUGGACACUUGUCUUUUCAGAAGAUUUAUACGACUGAGAGUCAAAACUUUUACCAGAGACUUUCAUAGUCAGUUUGAAUUCUGCAAAAUUUCUCUUUAUCUUCUGGAAUGUAUGCUCUAGACUUGGAGUGGCUCAAGCUCUUCGAUGUGAUCCUAUCAAUGUCAAGAGAAAGAAGCACUGAAGAGUCAUAAUUGUGUCCUGAUUUAUAAAUCGGAGACAGAGGGAGACGAAAACCACACUCCAGAAAGUAGCUUAAUCGGACUCACUACUAAGAUGUUAAAAGUGAAGAGGCUGGAAGAAUUCAACACGUGUUAUAACAGCAACCAGCUGGAGAAAAUGGCCUUUUUUCAGUGCAGGGAAGAGGUGGAGAAAGUGAAGUGUUUUCUGGAAAAAAAUUCUGGGGACCAGGAUUCAAGAUCUGGACAUAAUGAGCCAGAGAUGACUGGAGGCAGAGCUACCCACAGCCCGACCACUUCUACCUGAGCUCUUAUUGAGGAUGCAAAAAGCCAAAACCCUUUCAUGCAGCUGUUGAGAAGUCCAAACAAGUUCAGAAUCCUGAUCUUUUGUGUGUGGCCUAUAUUUUCUCUCUCUAGCAACUUGGGAAACCUUCUAUUUGUCCUUGUAUUGGGAAAAGUUUCUGCCAGAACCAAGAACCACUGUCCGUAAGUGGAGGGAAGUUCAGACUGAAGAAAGAGGCAAAACCACUUUAGGUUGAGUCUUGCUCUGUCACCCAGGCUGGAGUGCGGUGGUGUGAUCUUGGCUCACUGCAACCUCUGCCCCCCAAGUUCAAGCGAUUCUCCUGCCUUGGCCUCCCGAGUAGCUGGGACUACAGAUGGAAUCUUGCUGUGUCUCCAGGCUGGAGUGUAGUGGCGCGAUCUCGGCUCACUGCAACCUCUGCCUCCCGGGUUCAAGCAAUUCUCCUGCCUCAGCCUCCCGAGUAGCUGGGACUACAGGUGCCAGCCAUCACGCCCGGCUAAUUUUUUGUAUUUUUAGUAGAGAUGGGGUUUCACCAUGUUGGCCAGGAUGGUCUCGAUCUCCUGACCUCGUGAUCUACCCGCCUCAGCCUCCCAAAGUGCUGGGAUUAUAGGCGUGAGCCACCGCGCCCAGCCUAGUCUCUGCUUUUUUAAAAAAAAUGUUAGGACAGUGGUCCCUAAACUUGUCUGUGUAUUAGAAUCACCUGGGAAAUCUUUAAAAAUUCUAAGGACCAGGUAAAUUAAAUUAUAAUCUCUGGGAAUAGGACUGAUUUUUGUAUUUUUAGUAGAGACGGGGUUUUGCCAUGUUCACCAGGCUGGUCUCGAACUCCUGACCUCAGGUGAUCCACCCGCCUCAGCCUCCCAAAGUGUUGGGAUUACAGGUGUGAGCCACCACAUCCAGCCCAGACUAAUUUUUCUGAUGACAAAUGCUGCUUGUUGAUGUGAAUUCUGAUAUGGCACACACUUGAGCCUCACUUUGUUAGCUAUUAAUUUGUGUUACUGAAUUUACAGGCCUGGAAUACAAUUUGUGCUUCUUUUUAAAUAAAUUUCAUACUUUUUUUUU